rnacentral:lncRNA from 1 species
CAAUCCUUCCUAUUGAACAAUUCUUGCAUAGGAAUGAUUGAAUUGUGCUUUCUUUCAACAUAAAUAGGGCAUUGCAUCUUUGUCUGGUUAAUUCCGUUAACGAAUGAGAUCUCAGCCUGCUAACUAGCUAUGUGAAGGUGAGCCUCCACAGCCAGCUUCUUAGAGGGAUUAUGGCCGCUUAGGCCAAGGAAGUUUGAGGCAAUAACAAGUUUGUGAUGCCCUUAGAUGUUCUGGACCGCAUGCGCACUACACUGAUGUAUUCAAUGAGUCUAUAGCCUUGGCCGACAGGCUCAGGUAAUCUUUGAAAUUUCAUCGUGAUGGGGAUAGAUCAUUGCAAUUGUUGGUCUUCAACGAUGAAUUCCUAGUAAGUGCGAGUCAUCAGCUUGCGUUGACUACAUCCCUGCCCUUUGUACGCACCGCCCUGUUGCUCCUACCGAUUGAAUGGUCUGGUGAAGUGUUCGGAUCGCAGUGAUGUGGGUGGUCCGCUGCCCGCGACAUCAUGAGAAGUCCAUUGAACCUUAUCAUUUAGAGGAAGGAGAAGUAGUAACAAGGUUUUCGUAGGUGAACCUGCAGAAGGAUCAUUGUCAAACCUUCGAACGAACCGCGAACACGUUUUAACACUCUGAGGGGGGGGGGCGGGCCCACCACUCCGCCACCAUAAACUACCAUGUUAGGUGGAGACUCCAUCCUUGAAGAAAUCACAUGUUUUGAUUUCUUCGAUCCAUUGCCUUUCUCACCCUCUAAUAUUACUAAAAAGGUAGACUUUCAGUUAGAUGGCAGCUUAGAUCACUUGAUAAACUUGUCAUUUGUGUUGAAUUGCACUUCCAUUAGAUGAACCCUUGUCUUUCCUUAGUAUUUUCUGUUGAAAUCCAUGAAGCCCUCCACCUCAACUGCUUCCCCAAUCGCUCUAGUAACCAUCGAACUUCUUUCUUUUCAAAACCCAUAGAGAAAAUAGAACCUAGGCUUUGCUCUAACACCAAUAUCCAUAUCCCUCUAACCUUGCCUUCAAAUCUUACCUCGAAGGUUUUCCUUUCCACACUGCACAACCUUCUCGUACUCUUCCCUAUAUGGUAUAAAAUGUUAUUUUUUAGGUGGUUCUUUACUUUUUUAAUUCCUACAGAAUUGCUUCCUCAAAUGACAGUGUCAUCCAUAUGUAGCAUGGGUAUCACUAUUUUAGACUUCCUUUUAGGAACAAACAUUGAGUGAUCUGACCGACAUUGAUAAAAGCCAUUUGUUGUUACUACAACAUUGAACUUAUCAAGAUAUGCAGGAGAAGAUUGCUUUAACCCUCAGAUUCUCCUCUUUAAACAUCAUGCUUGUAAUCCGUACUCCCCUUAAGCAAUGAACCCAAGUGGUUACUCCAUGAUAGAUUUUUCCAAUUGAAGUUGGUGACUAAGGGAAUAAAGAUAUGGAUUAAAUCAAGACAGGAAGUUAGAGAAAAUGUCUCAAAAUAGUCUACCCAUAAGCGUAAGUAUGGCCUUUAACAAGAAGUUCAACUUUGAGCCCUGCUCAAUUGUGUCCUCUAGUUGAUAUUUUAUGGGAUAUACCCAUUUACACACUACUAGUGUUCCUGGUAGGUAAAGUAGUGAGUUCCCAUGUGCCGCUAUUUACCAGGGCAUUCAUCUCCUCUAUAACUUUCUUCCAUUCUGGAUGACUCAAGGUGGCUUGAUAAUUUUUAGGGGUAGAGAAAACAGACAAAGCAGUUGAUAAAGCACAAUAUUGAGAGAGAUCAUGAGUGGUAAAAUAACUAUCAAGGGGAUAUUGAAGACAAGGAUGUCCAUCUUUACAAAGAGCCAUGUAUAAUUUGGAAGGAUCGGUCACAAUAACCGAUGGUAGAGUAGAUAGGAUUGAGCAUGAAAGAGACUAAUUAGGAGCAGUUGAACCAUGGGUCCAUUGAUAUGCCAACAACAAUUUAGAAGGGGCUGAGGUAAUAGUUUCUGAAAUUUGUGAAGGAUGAGGAGGUGAAGAACAAAGUUUUGAGUGUAGCGAGGAUCUUGUAGAAGAAAAAAGGAAGUAGACUCAAGAAAAGUCACAUUUGCAUUGACAAAGCUCCUAUGACAGAUAUGAUCAUAACAUUUAUGCCUUUCUAAGUUUGAGAAUAUUGAAAGAAACACAUUUGAUGGUACAAGAUGAUAAGUUAUCUUGAUUUGGAGGACAAUGUUUAACAAAACAACCAAAGAUACAAGGUGGAAGAGCAAAUGAAGGCUGAUCGAGACACAACAACAAAUAUGGAGAAUACCCUUUUAAUACAAAUGGGGGUAACCGAUUAAUCUAAUAGUAAGUAAUUAAGAUGGCAUCCUCCCAAAACUGUUUAGGAACGUGCAUGUGGAACAUGAGACAUUGGCCAACAUAAAAAAAAUAGUGGUUUUUUCUUUCAGCAACCUUGUUUUGUUAUGGUCUGUACACAAGAAGUUUGAUGAAUAAUACCACAACUUGUGCAAAAAGAAGUCAAUGCAUGGUUUUUAUAUUCAAGGACAUUAUCUGAAUGAAGAAAACAACUAAAAUAACCAAACUAAGUUUUCAUUUCAUUAAAAAUAUAAUGAAAUACAUGAGGAACUUCAAAAAGUUCUUUAUGCAAGUAGAAUUAUAUAACAUGUGAAUAAUCAUUGACAAAACUGAUAAAAUAGCAAAAGCCUUGAAUAUGGGGAACUUGACAUGGGCCCAAAGCAUCAUAAGGAGCCACUUUAAAACAAGAGGACUCUUUUUUAAGUCGCACGGGAAAGGAAGAACAAUGAUGUUUCCCAUACACAUAAGAUUGACAUUUUAACUGAUAAAAUGAAAUGGAGACACAGAGGAGGACAAUGCAACAACAUGAAAGUAACCAUCAUUGUGAAGCUGCUACCAAUCUUCUUCUUUAUGAUCAAAUCCUUAAAAACACAAUAAAAAAGAAGAAUCGUACUAUAAUAAUUUUGUUGUUUUGUUAAUUGACUAAUAGAAGCAAGAUUAAUUGAUACUUUAGGCAUAUAUAGCACGGGUCAAGAUGAAGAGGUAAAGAAAAAGUAGGAUGAGAAACACCUAGACCACUAUCCACAGAAGAAAAACCAUGAGCCAAUCAUAUGGAAAAAUUGUUGAAGAUGGAUUAAGUAUGGAAAAUUUUGAAGAUGUCCCAGACAUAUGGAAGGCAGUGUCAGAGCCAAUAAUCUGAGGGUUAGGGUUAUGAGAUGAAAGAAGUGCAGUACCUGUAUGGGCCAUUGUAGCCAUGGGAGUGUUGGUUUUAGUAGCAGAAGGGGCCUUAGAUGAUGUUAGCACCACUUGAAUAGUAGAUGGCAUAGAUUCUGAUGCAUCCCAGUCCUGUUUCCCAGAUUUGCCCUAGCAUUUGUCGAAAUAAUGACUAGUCUUACCAUGGUGAAUAUAGUAUUGACCCGUUAAAAGUGCAAGAACGUGAGGACACUUUAUGUUGGAAAGAAGAUAGGAGAGGAUUGUUCAGCGUCAAGAUUCAUCUUGUAAAAUGGCUAGUUGUUUGCUUGGAUAAAAGUAAAGAGGGUUUGGGGGUAAAAUGCCUCUCUACUCUUAAUAGAUCUCUUUUGGGUAAAUUGAGUUUACACUUUAUGGUAGAAAAUGAGGCUUUUUGGUAUCAAGUUAUUAGUAGGAAGUAUGAAGUGGAAGAAGGGGGGCAGUAUACUUGGGAAGGUAGAGAGGGUUUUGCAGUGGGGUUGUGGAAGGAGAUUAGAAAGGAAGGUUGAUGGGGAAAAGUCUUUUAAAGUUUAUUCAAGGAAGAUAGGGAAGACCUAAGUAAACUUUAAGUAAGAUUAAUAUUAAUUAGAAUUGAAUUGGGAUUGGUAUUUGUUAGAGUCUAAUUAGGAUUAGCUAGUUGAGUUAUAAUAUAAUUAGAAUUUGAGUCAUGAUAGGUUAUUAGAAUCCUAGUAGACUUUGGAUGUUAUUAUUAGAAUUAUAAUCAUAAUAGGUUAUUAGAGUCCUAGUGGACUUUGGAUUUCUUAGAGAAGCUUAUAAAUAGACUAAUCAAUGUAAAUCAAAGGAAUGAUUUGAUAUGAAUAAUAUUAUAUUUUCUUUCAUUGUAAGGUUGCAACCCUCAAUGGUAAGAUUCCAUUUAUUUUCUUCUAGGUGAGACUCCUAGAAAGCCUUAAUGAGACUCUAAGGUUUUCCAUUUUUUCUUCAUUGUUUCUUUUUUCUCUCUAUUUCUUAUCUUAUAAUUUUCUCUACCAUAAAAUUUAUUUUUUGUUCCUCUCCUUGCACCCUAAAAAAUAAAACCCUAGCCCACCUACCCUUGAGUGUAGGCAACCAUCCUAGGGUUGUCCUACGUCAAAGGUUCUCGGUUGAGCAACUACAUUGGGUUUUCUGUGGGUAAUGGAAGUAGAAUCAGAUUUUGGUUGGAUCCUUGGUGUGGUGUUGAGGCUUUGUGCAACUCUUUCCCCUCUUUGUUUGCUUUGGUGGUUUCUAAAGAAGACUGGGUGGCGGAGGUGUGGGACUCUUCGGUUGAGGGGGGGAGUUGGAGUCCUCAUUUUUUGAGGGCCUUCAAUGAUUGGGAGGUAGUCUUGGUGGAGCGGUUGCUCUGGACAAUACAAGGAAUUAGAGUUAGUGCAAAUUUGGAGGAUAGGGUGAUUUAGAAAAAGAUAAAAAAUGGGUUUUUCAUAGUUACGUCUCUUUAUAGUGCUGAAGAACCAGGAAAUACAGUCCGGUUUCCAAGAAAAAUAAUUUGCAGCCCUUUUGUUCCUCCAAGAAUGGGUUUUUUUUUGCUUGGGAAGCCUCUUAGGGGAAAGUUUUAACUUUGGAUCAACUCUAAAGGAGGGGUUAGUCCCUUGCCAAUAGAUGUUUCUUUUGUCUAGUCGAAGUGGAGUCUACUAAUCACAUCUUAAUUCAUUGCACGAAGACUAGAGUUUAGUGGGAGUUAUUAUUCGCUCUCUUUGGGGUGACUUGGGUUCUCCCUUGUUUGGUAAGGGAGACUCUCCUUGGUUGGUUUGGGUCAUUUGUGGGCAAGAAGCGCAAAAAAGCUUGGAAGCUGGCUCCUUUAUGCCUUUUUUGGGUGGUGUGGAAAGAAAGAAAUGUGAUAGCGUUUGACAAAGAAGAGUUUUCAGUUCAUAGAUUGAAGCAUUGUUUUGUAUGUAGUUUAUGGUCUUGGACAAAGUUGUAUAUAGAUGUUUGCCCUUUAUCUUUAAUCGACUUUUUUGAUUGGUUGGGCUUUAGGUGAGAGCGGGUGAGGUUUUUGUUUUUCCUCCUGUUUUGCUCUUUUUUGCCUUUUGGCACCUAUUGUGUACUUUCUGUAUGCCUUGGGUUGCUUUCCGGUCUUCCUUUUUCUAAUUAAUCUACUCUCUACUGUGUUUAUCCAUCCAAAAAAAAAUAUUAUUGUUCUCUAAGUGGGGAGAAUAAUUUUGCUUUUCUGGGAAAAGAGGUUUAGGGAUCCUGUGCUCCUCUUAGAACUUUCUUUUUUGCUUGGGAAGCUGUUUGGAGGAAAAUCCUAAUUGUAGACACCUUAAUGAAGAGGGGAUGACAAAUGGUCAAUAAAUAUAAUCUUUGUAAAGAGAGUGAAGAAUCAACCAAUCACAUUCUGAUUCAUUGUGCCAAGACAAGAGAACUUUGGAUCUUUUUAUUAGUCCUCUUUGGAGUGACUUGGGUAUUUCCAGUUUCAUUAAGAAAUCUCCUCCUUCAAUGGAAAGUUAAGGGGUUUCAAAAGAAGAAUAGAGCAAUUUGGUGCUUGGCUCCCAUUUGCUUAUUUUGGUGUGUUUGGAAAGAAUGUAAUCGAAGAACCUUCAAAGAUGAAGAACUCUCCGACCAGGGUUUAAAAGAUCUCUUCUUUCAGACUCUUUUUGAGUGGACUAGGGAUUCUUUGGAGCUGGAUUUCCCCUCUAUGUUGAUUUUCCUAGAUACUCUUUGUUGUGGUUAACUUUGCUUUGUUUUGUUUGUGUGGUCUUUCUUUGUUUGAGGUGUGUUUGGCUUGUUUUUGUGUAUAUAACCUAUAUACGUAGGGCGCACCCCCUCCUUUUUAGGCGCUUAUUUUUACAUGUUCUUGUUGUCUAUAAAAAAAAAACAGUAUUGGUCAUCCCUAACAAGGCCUCCCACUGCAUAAUGAGCUUGAUCACAAGGACUAUUAACACCUCUUCCUCUAGUGCUAGAGGAAACAUUAAUCAUUGAAGGGGAGAAUAGAUGUUGCUGAUUGAAGGUAAGGUUUCACUUGAGACUAAGUCUUCACUUUAUAGUAGAUAGGUUGAAGACCAAAUAAAAAUUUAGCAAGUACAAACCCUUUUUGCUAGCUUUUGCAAUUUUCCAUAUUACUAUGAUUGAUAUUUAGUGCUUCACUCAUAAUUUUAAGAGUCCUAUCAUAUUCACCAAGAGGUUUAUCAUCCUAUUUGAGGCCAAAAAUAUUUUCAUGUCUGAUAAAUGUUUUUAUCUUUUCCGACAAGUAAGGAAACGAUACAUUAAAAAGUGCCAAAAGAAUGGUGCCCAAAGUACACAAGAUGUAUACAAGAGCACUAAAGGGCUAAAAAUAAGAUGACGGGAAACCAAAAACAUUCCCUCCCCUUGCUUACAAUCUCACCAAUCUACAAAGUCUUGCAAAGAAAGGAUUUAAGCUCUUGAUCAAUAAGCUCUACAUUAUCAAAAGCCUUCCUAUUUCUCUUUUACCAAAUAGUCCAGAGCAAGCACAAAGGAGCGGCUUUCAUGCUUGUUUCCAUUGCUUCCUGACAAAGCAACUGUUCCAACUUAAAAGAGUUGAUUCACCAAAAAAAUCAACACCCAUGCAAUACUAAGUAGGGAGAAGACUAACUGCCCUAGAAUUCUUUCCUUGGAACAGUGGCGGAGGAUGUGCUCAAUAGAUUCUUCCUCACCUUUGCACAUAAAACACCUAUUCACCAAAAUCCAACCUAUCCUCAUUAUCUUGUCCUUGGUUAAAAUACCUUUCCAAACUAAUAGAUGUUUCCAUCUUGAGGAUAAGUUUCUUGCCUCACAGACAAUGUCCCGAGUUUCUUUAGCAAUACCCAAAAACAUCAUAUUAGCACUAACAUAAGGAGACAUGCUAUUCAAUAAUCACAACAUGAUCAUAAAAUGAUCCUAUUGCCACUUUUCAAAAUUAGGGACUUCAAAUCUGGAGGAUCAAAAGGAGAUAGCAUCCCUUAUGCACCAAUAUGUACUUUUAACUGCCUUAGACACAUAGGUCAAUUCAAUUCAUUUUAUUGAGAUAAUUUGUAAAUUCAUAGGAUCAGGAGAUAGAGAUCCACUCUGUGCCUUAUCGGGGAAACAGUAGGAAGAGGCAAGCAGCAACCAUGAGGUAGAAGACAACAGCAGCUAUGAGGUAGUAGACAGCAGAACAUAGUCACUUGACAGAAUUAUCAUUUCCUAUAGUAGCAGAAAAUAAAGGUAUAUAGGCCACAGACCAAAAAGGAGAUUUCUAGAUCAGCAUAUGGUUCACAGUAUAGGACUCCCAUGGUAGGUAGUAGUAAGUCAUAGACCAAAAGCAAGGCAAAUUGCAUGUUUCUAAUCCAUAAAUACAGCAGACUUCUAUCAUCAAUAACCAAUAGAAACAGCUAGGGGCAAACAAAAAGUUGCAGAAAAUAGAACUGAAUAUGAGAAUUGGAGAGGAAACAGAAAAUAGGAACAAAUCUACAUAGGCAACCAGAUCUGAUUUUCUGGAAAAAAAAUAAAAAAUUGCAAGAUUCAAAGUGAUUUGAAUCUUUCAGUAGAUUAGAGUGGUUGCUACAUGGUGUGUAGGGCUUAGGGUGAAUUGCUGCAGGAUAGUUAGGGUUUAAACAGAGUUGCAGCAUGGUUGCUGUUAGGUAGUUAACACCUUUUAUGCCUUUUCUUAUCCCCAAACAGGAUUUUGUAACUACCUGAUAAGCUGGAAAAAGGGUCUGCUGCCUAAUAAAGCCCUAGAAAGUAAUAGACGCUAGCUCUGUCAUUCUCUUGAACUGCUUGUAACAACUAAUAAAACAAAUUGCAACUUAAAAUGACAAUCAUAUUCGCAUCUUACAUGUGUAUUACUUUCUCUCUGUCUCUCUCUCUCUUAUUUUCCUUUUUCCACUUGUGGUAUAUGAAAACAUGUCAGAAAAUUAUUAUCCAAAACGACAUUCUAUGCCAUUUGACACAUUUUAAUGCUCCACCUUGUUCACAUUUAAGAAUGGUCCUUGAUAGGAAAAUGCUAGUUUUAAUGUCUCUUUUACCAUCUUUUCAUUUUUACCAGACUUUACAGUUGAUGUGCCAUCACCACAACAGGUUGUUAUUUGCCUGAAUGUGCUGAAGUGUUAAUAUUUUGCACUUAUGUAAUGUUGUCACAUUCAUGGUCAUCUCAGAUGGUAAACGAGGUCAUUAAACUAGUGCUAGUACAUCUCCCUUCUUAAUGCAUGCAUAUCAUACACCAAAAGAAAAACUUGUGAUGGACUAUUCUCUUUAUUUCAUCCUUUUUCAGGUGGAUUAACUUGAAGGUUCCAUUCCAUGAGGUAUUUGGCAACAUCAGGUGCAACCUAAAAGAAGCUGUCCAGCGGGCUGGGCUACUGUGGGAAGGCCGUGCUCAUUGUGGUUUGGAUGAUGCUAAGAACACUGCUCGUUUACUUGCCCAUAUCAUGCAUCGUGGAUUUAGGUUCAGUAUAACCAACUCACUGAUUUGGCAAUCUACUGAGCGCCCUUCGAUAAGGCAGCAGUUCCAUGAUUGCCAAUAUGGCCCCAUCCAGCAUCCCCACAAAUUGAAGCACCCACUAGGGCCCUUUAUGCGGUUUCAUCCAAUCCCAGUAGAGCCUGAAAAAGACCUAGGAACAUAUUGUUUCUGUGGGGUGAGGAGCAGCAGGCAGAUGCUUCGCAAGCCAGGUCCAAUGCAUGGAAGUUUCUUCUUUGGAUGUGGGAAUUGGACUGCAGCUAGGGGUGCACUUUGCUCAUAUUUUGAAUGGGCUACUUAGUGACUUGAGUGAAAGGAUAUCUAUCCUUACCUGUGAAAGCAAAAAUGAAAAUUAAAAAAAGAAAAAAAAGGGGGAAAAAAAAGGGAAAGAAAGAAAUGAAUGACAAGAGAGGGAAGGUCUCCUAUGAAAGCAAUGCUGGUGUUCGCUCAUUCAUGAGGUUGCUGCUUCUUACAUUUGAUACUGUAGCCUCCAAAGGGGUGUCUGUUCAUAGAAUCUUUGAGAAGUCUAAUAGGAAGAGGGAUCUCUAACUUGUAAAGCUGACUUCUGGUUGGCAGAAAAGCGGGAGGAUAUGGAAUAGGAAAUGCUUACAUAGGAGAAUGGUUUUCACCAUGCCAGGACAUGGUUUUAAACUUCUUAAAUAAUCUUGUUAAAUAGGGAUAAUGUGUUUUAUCUAUGGUUUUAGUGGGAAUGAGCUGCCAUUGAUUGCGCUCCUUUUCCCCUUCAAGUUUCUAUUCUAUGUUUCUAUUGUUUCUAGAUGCCAUCUCUAGGGGAUGAUCUUCAUUCAUGUCGUCCAUCUACCUUCACUGGCGCACCUCCCAUCGGUAGUUUACAGCUAUAGUUAAGUUGGCUACCACCAAAAUUUAGGUAAACAUUUGCUUCAUGGAUAUAGUCUGAUUCAUUCAUUUGUUCAUUGUUUUGGGUUAGGGUGAUUCCCAAUUUAGAGCUAUGUUGAUGCAUGUUCACACCAAGAUUGAAUUAACCAGCUUUUGAAGCUUCUGCUUACAUUUGCCUCAGAACUCAAAUCUGCUGUCUACCUUUUUAUUGAUGUGAUGAAAUCUCACAGUUUUUGCAUUGUGUUGUUUUUGUACUUGGAUUCAUAGAUGAUGAUGAUGAUGAUCAAUAUGAUCCCUUCCCUUUAUUUUUUGCUUUGAAAUUUCAUGCUUUCUGGAUUUCAUUCAUUGGGCUUUCUUUUGAUUGAAUAUAGAUUGAAUGACAUUUUUAUAACUGCAGUGCAGUGUUAUGUACUUUGUGAAUGAAUUAUCAUUUGAUUUAUAACUCCCAACCUUUAGUAAAACUUAAUACUUAUUUCUUAAUGAUUUAAGUUAAAUUAUAUUUAAGUUGUUGAUUUAAAAUUUAUCAUUUAAUUCUUAUUUUUAAGUAUUAAGUUUCUUUGAUAAAAUUAAUUUAAAAAUUUUAUUUUGAAUCAUCAAAUUGACAUAUUUAUCCUCAUAAAUUAUAAUUAAGAUAAAUGAGGUCGAGUAACAAUAGAAUUUGUGGAGUAGCAAAAGGGAUCGUGGAGAUAAUUAUGACAGAUAAAAAUAAAAAAGUAAAAUAAAAAUGUGGACUUGAUAAUAAGUUAAUUGUUUUUACUUAUUAUUUAAAGAUAUUUUUUUUACUUUAAAUUAUAUUAUUAAAUUAUGUUAUCAAACAUAUUUAAUUUAUUUAAUGAUUUAAAUUAAAUUAUUAAGUCACUUUAAGUUAGUAAGAGCUCGAUUGACAAUGAUUUUAGGAAAUAUUUUUAAUUUUUUUAAUAUUUAAUUUUUUUUUUAUCAUUCAAGUGUUGAAUAGAUUAAAAACGUUUUUUAGAAUUACUAUGAAACGCAAAAGUUGAUUUCCCUACCACCCACAAAUCGGUAGUUGAUCAUUAGGGAAGGCUAAUAUGAUGGUGGUGGUGUAAUUUUUUAUUAGAGUUCUUGCAGCUCUCUCACUUUCUUUGGACUUAGAACUUACUAUUUUUGAAUAUUUUAUUUAUUUCUUUUUCAUUAGAAAGAUUUAUAAUUGCAUAUGAUGUUGCUCUAUUUGCUUCUUAUCGUAACACCUAUCUAGCAAUUGUGGUUUAUUUAUUAUUCCUGUUUUUUUUAACACAAAUUUAAUAUUUUCAAUUUUUUAAAGAAAAAUAAAGAAUAAUUUUGAUAAAUUUGAAAACAUAAAAAAGGAAUAAAAUUAUAUAAAAGAUUUAUGGAUCCAUAAUAUAAAAGAAAAACGAUUCAUAUAUAUUUUUAAACUUGGAUCACCAAAAAAAUUGUAAGUGUACAUGUGUGAAUUAUUUGAAAAAAUUAAGAUAAAUAAGAUUUUCAUGAAUCAAAAUCAAGAAAGUUUAUUCAAAGCCAAUUGUCAUAUGAUUAUCCAAUGACUUAUUUGGAUGAAAAGAAAUUUUAAAAAAUUAACUCAAUCUCAAUCAUAAUUCAUCAAACAAUCCAUAUUUAAUCACUUAAUCUCCUAAAUAUCAAAUUCUAACAACAUUCAAGUGUGCCUCGAAUCAGGGUUCAAAACAUCGUCCGAGUCGUAUUCGCCUCAACACCAGUUGUGAUGAGUUCGAUACCCGAUAUACUUUUUACCUAGACUCGACCUUAAAUCGGUUGGACUCGGAUGACUCGACUGGUAUUCCAAGUUAACUUGGUCGACUUGAAAAAAAAAAAAAAACUAAUCAAUAGAUUCCAUGCAAAAGAAACCCAUCACAACAAUAAUCAAAACUUUAAGAGAAAUUAGAGAUUCUUCUGCACAAGAAAACCCUUGAAAAUUUUGAAACAAACCCGUGAAAAUUUGAAACAAACCCGUGACCAUUUCAAAAGCCUUUAAAAAGAGACACGGUUGAAGAAUAACUUACUUAACCCUAAAUCCACCAUUGCCAGAGUGUAGAUUUUUCAUCUUUGGUGCACUACCGAUGCCGCAAUGGUGACUGGAUGCCGGCAAGGCAACCCUCCUCCAUUCGAUAGUCCGAUUGUGGUUGUGUGGUAGCAGUGGGAAGGUCCGAGUCGUCUGAGAGGCUGCAGAUCGUGAUCAUCGUGGUGUGUUGGGGAAGAAGAUAGUGGGCAAGGGUUCUUGGGGAAGAAGCUAGCAGAUGAUAAAUGUAAAGUUUGAUUUACCUUAUUUAAAUCAAAACACCCCUAUAAUAUAUUUUGAUUCAUUACUUUAAUUUAGGAAAGAUAAGAGCUGGUUGAUGGGUCAUUCUAUCGCUCUUUUCCAUUUGUUCUACCUCUACAUGAUUUGAUUAUUGGGUUGCACUCCUAGCUUGCCAUGUCCCAUGGACUUUGUCUUUGGCCCUUGUGGAGACAUUUUUGUAUUUUACUUUUGGAUAAAUUAUAACUGUGAUAUCUACGGUUUUAAAAUGUAUAUACAUGUAAAAAAGAGCUCAUAAGUAUAUAACACUAAUUUUUUUUUCCUUAUUCAAUGUGAAAAAUCAUAUGUAACGUCCACAUGCCCAAAUCAUAUAAUUUUUUUUUAUAUAUAUUAAUUUAUAGUAAAAAAUUCUACAAGAAAUUGUUAUUUAAUAUAACCUAUUUAACAUUUGGUUAUAUUUUAAGAUUAUUAUUAUUUAAAAAAGAAAAAAGGGUUUGCAUGAGUGAAAGUAUAGAAAUGACUUUCAUAAUUUACAUAAAAAUUUAAGUUGAAGCCAAUAUCAAAAUAUUCUAAAGGAAUAAUAUUAAUAUUAUAUGAGUAAACUUAAAUUAUUCUCAAAAUAUAUUUUUUUAAAUAAUUUUUAAAACAAAUACCAAUUUAUAAUAACAUAAUUCACAUCUUUUUUUUUUGGGACAAUUGUGUUUUGGAUGUAGUUGGGUCCAAAAAUUAAGUUUUGGUCCAUAUAAGUUUAUCAUUUAAGCCCAAGACCUAGAGGAAGUGUGAAAAUUGAGAAGAAGGAUAUGAAUUUUUUAUCUUUCCAAAAAUGACCUUUAUUGACUAUGAAAAAAAAAGAGUAGAAAAACAUUAAUUUAAAUUUUAUUCCUUUUGUAAACCUCAAUAAAAUUUAAUUUAAUUUAGUGAUUUGGAAAAAAAUACACCAUUUUCCAAAAAAAUAAAAAUAAAUUAUUAUUAUCAUUAUUAUUAUUUAAAAAUCAAACAUCUUGAAAAAUAUAUAUAUUUAAAAUUAUGUAUGUAAAAAAUAACUAAAAAUAGGUCAAAUUUAUUUUUUUUAAAUGAUAUAUUUUUAGAAUAUAUAUAUAUUUUUAAAAAAUUAGUUUUCUAAAAAUAAUAAAUUUUUAGAAUAAUUAUUAAAAAAAUUAAGAACAGAAAGUUUGUCGAACAUUGUGGUAAAAAAUACUCAAAAUAGUUUUAAAGGGUAUAUUGGUCUUUUCACAUUUUAUAUCAUUCUCAUCAAUUAUGCAACUUAUAUGGGCCAAAUCUUAAUUUUUGAGCCCAACUGGGUACAAAACACAGUUGUCCUUUUUUUUUUUUUUGUUUAUUUCAUUUUCUAUCUCAAAAUUUUAUCAUUUUAAAAUUUUUUUCUCUAAACAAUAUUUUGUAUUGUUUUUAAACAAAUAAAAAUUAGGUGACUCGGCAUGACCAGGCAUGCUAAGUGUCACACCCCUGAAUAUCUCAUUGAAUUUUUCACGAGUGCGCGUUGCUAAGGACCCUUCCUUAGCCAACAUUCCUUUCUAGCGUUUAGAAAAUAGAGUAAAACACAAAAAGAACAAAGCAACAGGGACACACACGAGGUUACCGGAAUCCUUUCCCAACUUGUAUUAUUUCACUAUUACAAGACAAAAUUGUUUUCUGAACCAGAGUACAAUGCUCUCACCCAAGCAUACGAGAAGGAACCCUUUUCCCAAAACUCUCACUCUCUGUUUCAAGGCUGUAGGAGCCUUUUUAAAAGACUCAAGCUGCAGUUACAAAUUUGAAUUUCCCAAUCCAAAUCUUGGAGCCAACUUUGGUGGUUAUGCAACUGGCCAGAACCGCCCUCAACUGCCCUGCAUAACCACCCACCACCUAGAUAGUGGCUUGUACAUGCCACCCACUUACACCAGCCGUCAUCUCUUAGCCAACUGCAAGUCAAAUGACGGCUUGACUUGGUCACUGAGCUAGUUGCACUAUCAUAUCCUCAGGUCUUGCUCGCCAAGUUGUUGGUGAGUCCCCCUAACAAGACGACCCCUCCCCCGUAAGGUGCCUCUUGUGACCGGGUGCCCAUCAGCAUGUCUUUGAUCAAGGCCCUCUAAGCCAGGCAGCGUGCACCAAUCAUCUGACUAAGCAUCUGGUGCAUUAGUGUGCCUUCCCCACACUGAUGUGUGAGCCUGUGCUAUGUUUAAGUGCCCAUAGCUUGGGCUUGUUGCUUGCUUCUCAGCUUCCUAGCAACGAGCCAUGACAUUGCGCCCAUGGCUGAUCCCUCUUGGUGCAUAAGGCAUUGCGCCCUUGUGCUGUGCGUAGGCAUCUUGGUGCGAGUCAGUUAUCGCUUGGAGCCAUCAGACCAUGGCAUUGCGCCCAUGGUUUCAUCAGCUGGCUCACCGCACAAGGCUUAGGCGCCCUCCUGCCUACGCGGGGAGGGGGUAGGCCGUACCAGGCCUCGUGCCGUUGCGGCCACGGGGUGCACACCACACAUGUCGUGGAGCCCAUGUGUGCGUGCUUGAGUCGCGUCGUGUGUCUUAGGCAUGUCCAAGGCCGUGCCAUGGUGCCCCCUUGGUGCGGUCAAGGCUUCUCUUGGUGGCUCCCUCCUUUGAGUCACCUACCCCCCCUUAAAGAGCAUUACGGGUCGUUUUCAUUGUUUCUUAAGGAGACAUCAAUAUGUCUGAGGAGACAUAAUGGAAUAAUAAUUUUAAUUUAUAAACUAAAAUUCCAAGUUCCUCAACCUUCAUCUGCACCACCUAAGUCAGGUGCGCGUGCGAUGCUCAUCUGGUGCACACACGGUGCAUGUCUGGCUCGCCCACAGUGCGCACGCGGUGCGCGUUUGGCCCACUCGCGGUGCGUAUCUGGCUCGCCCGUGGUGCGAUCGCGGUGUGCGUCUGGCUCGCCCAUGGUGCGCGUCUGGCUUGCCUAUGGUGUGCGCGCAGUGCUCAUCUAGCUUGCCCACGGUGCACGCGCGGUGUAUGUCUGGCUCGCUUGCGGCCUCCUCACAUGGCUUUUGGAGUUUAAACCACCAAACUUCUAGGAUUUCCUUACUUUCAUCCUAGGGUCUCAUAGGUGCAAGGCCUACCCAUGAGGCCUAUUCCUCCAUGGUUAAGUCAAGGGGCUAAGGGGCUGACCCUAAGCCUUUAGUAUGCUUAAUUUUGUCGCACCAGGAAUAUUUCUUGGAUGGGCCAACCUGACUCAACCCAAUUUGUAGCUAUUAGGGUAUAACCUAGAAGGUGACCCACCAAGCCUAUUGAAAAUUAGGGCGUUACUUAAAGGUAGAGGGCCUAUAGGCUUUUAAUAUUGAAUUUACAAUUUAAAAUAAUUCAAUUGGCAUCUACUUAACUAUGUUUGGUUACAAAAAAUUUAAAAGAAAAUGUAACAUAAAGAAAUAUAUAUAUAUAUAUAUAUAUAUAAGAAAAAAUAAAGAAAUAUAAAAAAUAUAAUAAAGUUAAUAAAUUAUUUUUAUAUAUUAUAUUAAAUUCAUUUCACCUUUUUUUUUUAUAAUAAAACCAAAUAUGAAAAAAAAAAUCAUUUUUAUUUUAUUUUAUUUCCUUAAUGUUUUGAUUUUAUUUUAUAAUAUUCUACAAUUAAAUUACAAUGGGAAAUCAAUAAUUAUCAAAACAAACUUUUUUAAAAGAUUUUUUUUUAUAAAAAUAAUAAUUUAUUUAACUAUUAUUUAUUUUAAUUAAAAAAACAUAUAAAUAAGUGGAAAACAAAAUAUGAUAAACUUAGGUGAGAUCGUGUUUAUUGUUUUUUUAGUAGAAUUUAUUUUUAUAUGGCAAUAAUAUGAAACAUAUAAGUGAGUGGAAAAUUGAAUAUUAUAAUUCUUAUAUAAAUGUGUUUAUAUAUAUUUAAUUUGAAAAGUAAGUUGUUUUACUUUUAUAGAUGGUUAAAUGGCCUAUAAAUGGUUAAAUGGCCUAUAUACCAAAUUGGAAAUACAUAUUUGGAAGAUGAGGUGCAAGAGCUUGAGGUAUAUAUAACAACAUUGAAGGCUAAAUGGCCUAUAUAUGGGUGCAAUCAUGUGUGAUGGUUGGAGUUGUAGGACUAAAAAGCCUAUCAUCAAUUUCAUGAUUUAUUAUGAUAGAAGUAUGAUAUACCAUUCUUCAGUUGACACUACCAACUUACCUAAGACAACAUACUACAUCUUUUCCCUUAUGGAUAAAGUUGUAGAGGAGGUUGGGAAGGAAAAUGUUGUUCAAGUAGUCACUGAUAAUGAGGCAAGUUUUAAAGCAGCCGGUAUGUUGUUGAUGAAGAAGCGGAAGCAUUUGUUUUGGUCUCCUUGUGCAGCCCACUGUAUUGAUUUAAUGCUUGAAGAUAUUGUAAACAUGAAGUAGAUUAAGGAGACAUUAGAUCAAGCUAAGAUGAUCACAAGAUUUAUUUACAAUAGCUUGAAAUUAGUGAAUUUGAUGAAAGUGUUCACCAAGGAUAGAGAUCUGUUAAGGCCAGGAAUAACCCGUUUUGCCACUGAAUUCAUUUCACUUGAGAGUCUUAUACGUUAUGAGGUUGAUUUGAAGAGAAUGUGUACAACAAAUAAGUGACGUGAAUUCAAUAAAGAUAGGAGCAGAAAAAGUCUAAGAGAUGAGGUAUCCAACCUUAUAUUAACUGAUCGAUUUUGGAAGAAGGCAGGGAAGUUCAAACCAUCAUGGAACCUCUCGUCAAAGUAUUGAAAUUGGUUGAUCAAGAUAAAAAAGCCACAUUAUCAAUCAUUUAUGAAGCAAUGGAUAGAGCUAAAUUGGUUAUCAAGGCAUCAGUCAAGCAAUGGGAAAAGUAUUGGGAAGUCAUUGAUAGAAGGUGGGAAGGUCAAUUGCACAGACAUUUGCAUGCUGCAGGUAAUAAAAAAAUUCUUUAUAUAUUUUUUAUUAUUUUUUUAAGUACAAAUUAUUAUAAACUGAUCAUUAUUUAACUUAUGACAACAUAUUUUUUAAAUCCAAUGUUCCAAUAUUCAAAACAUUUCUCCAACCAUCCAGAAAUUAAAGUUGGAUUAAAGAAGGUUAUCAAGAGAUUAGAGCCAGAUUUGGAUAGACAAGCAAAAGCUAUUGACGAGGUAUAAUAAUAGUUUGUGAUAUUUAUAUAAUGCAUUUUGUAUAUGUAAUGUGCAUUAACAAAAAAAAAUGUUAAUGAUGUAGGUGAAAUUAUUUAUUGACGACCGAGGAGAAUUUGGAAGUGCACUUACAAAGAACGCAAUAAAUCAAUCUCUUCUAGGUACUCAAUACAUUUACAUUUAUUACAAAUAAGAAAUUAUCAUCAUUUUUUGUUAAAUAUAUCAUAGUGAUUAAUAAGUAUGCAUUUUCUUUAUUAUAGUUGAAUGGUGGAACAACUAUGGCGACGAAGGUCCACAUCUACAAAAGAUUACUGUUAAAAUUUUAAGCCAAACUUGUUCUUCAUUAGGUUGUGAAAGAAAUUGGAGCACAUGGUCAUUGAUUCACACAAAGUUGCGCAACCGUUUGGCAAUAAAAAAGUUGUAUCAGUAGUUUAUGUGCACUAUAAUAUGCGACUUCGAGUUAAGAAUUUGAUGCAAGAGCUAAACAAUGAAGAUUUAUACAAUCCAAUUGAUUUGAAUCAUAUCUUUAAUGAUGAUGAUAUAUUAGAUGAGUGGAUACAAGAAGGAGAGGAGCUUAUUUUAUCAUAUGAUAAUUUGGAUUGGUUGGAUAAAGGUCUUCCCACUAAUGAAGAAGGUAGAGAAACAGUUCAUGAAGAUGAUGGUGCCACAAAUCGUAAAGUUAGUAGGCGUACAAGUAAUGCUACACAAGAAAGAGAUGUUGAUUCCCGUUGUAAAGGUAAGACUCCUAGAACAAUUUCUUCAAGUUUUAGUAGUGAUGAUGGUGACAAUGGGGGCAAUGCGCGGGGUGGUGGCACUAGUGGGGCAAUAGAGGAGUUGGUGGUACUAGUGAGGGUACUAGAGGAUAUGGUAGCACUGAGGGCGGUUAUGUUAGUCAAGUAUAUCUUAACAUGUCAUGGGCACAAGGAGGUGAAAAUUACUAUGCCACACAAGAUACAGAUCAUGGAUAUCGACCAGGGAUAUGGGAACAACGAAAGCAUUUGGAAAGACUAACUACAUUUCCCAGCGAUGAUGAUUAUUUUAGUGGGCAUGAUUAUCAUAGAUCAAAUUAUCACCGUAUUGAUGAGCCCUUAUAGAAUUUGGGUAUAGGAUCAAGGUCAUAUUUUAGAGGGGUAGAUGAUAGAUCAUAUCACAACUUUAGAGACCGUGAUAGCUCUUUCAGUACUUUUAGUAGAAAUGAUUUUGAUCGAUUUCCAAUGAUACAUCCAGAGGGAUAUUCAAAUACUAGAACACGAGCUUGUGAUUCAUACGGAUAUGAUCAAUCUUCUAGUAGUAGUAGCAUUGCUUAUUGAGGUUUUAUAUACUAUCAAUAUGGUGUUGAUCCCGAACAACCUUUGAAACCAUAUUUUCCUUAUUAUGGAUCGUCAAGCCAAUCAUCUGAGCCAACAUAUUCGAGUUAUGAACAACUCUUUGAACCAUAUCAUCACUACAAGAAUUGCCACCCAAUUUGUAUACUCGUCAUAGGACUAAUGAUGAUGAUUUUGAACCCUCUUAUCAUUCAACAUGGAAUUGAUUGUUGUAUGUUUGUUAGUAAAAAUGUUAUUAUAUUUGAAAUAAAAUAAUUUUCUUUUGUUAGCAUUAUUAUAAAUAACUUUGAGCAGAUACUUUUAUAACUAUUUAAAUAAUGUUAAAUGUGAGACAAUUUUAUUUUAUUAAUUUUUUGAGCUUAUUUAAUUGUAUAUAUUUUUAUGAUGAUUUACAUAAUAUUUUUAUAAUUUUUUGAAUUUUCUAAUUAACUUAUUUUAUGUAUCUCCCGAUACUAAACCGAUAUGCCUCGGGAACCUUCGAGUCAGUGACCGAUAUUGCAACUUUGAACCAUGGCCCGAAUUGUCCACACCCAACCUAAACUAGCAUGUAUUCAAAAAAUUAUAAAAUGAGAAAGGACCUAAAUAAAGAAGAAAAUGUAAAGUAUAAGUUAAUAAUAAAAAAAACUUAUAUCAAACUAAAGUACAAACCAAACAUAAAAUACCCAUUCUACCAUUAUAUGAAUAAAACACUGAUUCUCUCAAUAUCCUUCAUAUUAUUAAUUCAAAUUUUAUGUGAGCAUUUAUAGUAAGAUCAUUGAAAUUUUUUUAUUCAACGGAUCACACUUUAUUACCUUUAGCAUGCAUUUUCAUUAAAGAAAUUCAAUCUUUCUAUUAUAUUUUCUAUUGAAUUCCAAUAUUUAUAAAAAAAAGAAAGAAAGUCAUAGUACCUCAUUUUCUAUUAGAUUUCAACACCUAUUUCCAUAAAAAAUUCAUUCUCUACAUCUCAUUUUCCAUCACAUUUCAACAUGCAUUUCCAUAUAAAAACUUCAAUCAAUAUAUUCAAUUUCUAUUGAAUUCUAACAUGUCUUUUUCAUAAAAUAGAAUAAUAACAAAAAAUAAAAUAAACAGCCACUGCAUUUUAAUUUUCAUUGAAUUUCAAUUUUCAUAUACAACCCCGUUAAAUCUCAAUUUACUUUAAUUAAAUAAAUAAAAACACAAGCCAUUAUCAUGAUCACAAUUGGCUAUAUUGAUUUAAUCCAUAUAUGUCUCAUUGAAGAAAAUUCCCAAUCAAAGACCAUUAAUAAUGAUUCUCCAAAAACUAGCUGAGCAUAUGCAUGAUCCACUACACUGAUUUUUAAUUCUAUCAUUUGGAACUUAAAUCUUUAAAGAACCUUUGGGCAAAUUUGGAGGUGAGGAUGAUGGUGGGGUGGGGGUGACGGUGUGGCCAUUAGCAGUGGUGGUGAGUAGCAGCGUAGGUGGGAAGGGAAUGAGGUGGGGGUGACGGUGAUGGUGUCGCCGUUAGUGGUGGUGGUGAGCAGUGGCGUAGGUGGGAAGGUAGUUGAUGGAUGAAGGAAAAAAAAAUGGGUAUCUUGUUGAUGGUUUAUGCAUGGUUUUAAAGUGUGCUUUUCGGCAGCUGGGAAUGGAGCUGUUGCAUGGGAUACUAUGGAUUAAUGUAGCUACCAAAGGCUAGGGUCAACUAGAUGUAUGGUUUUUAUUAAAGUGCAUCAAAUUGUCUAACAUAUAGAAUUAGUUAUCAAAGCUUAUAAAUGACAUAUUUGUUAUAAAAGUAAUUAUAUUCUUAAAGUAUAGAUUUAAUAGUGAUAUAUAUAUAUAACUCAAAUCUUUACUUCAAUUUAUGAUUCAAUAAGUAUUGGGAAUUUUUUUUUCAUUUUUUUUAUCCAUAUAUAUAUUAUCUGAUAUGUUUAUUUUUAAAAGAAAUAAUCCAUAUUAUUUUACAUUUGAAGUGUGAUGAUACUUGUAGUAACUUGAAUUUAUUUUUAUUUUUAUUAUUAUUAUUAUUUUUAUAAUAAUGAAAUUUUUAUUAUUUAUUAUUUAUUUUUGGUUCAUGAACUAUUUAAAAGAAAAUUAUUUUGGCAUGUUCGUUACCUAAAAGGAACAACUUAUUUUAUCUUAUAUUUUUAAGACGUGGAUUUAAUAUUUAUAAAAAACUCUAAGUUUCAUUUCAAUUUAUGGUUGAUGAUAAUUUUAAACAAUCAGAGAAUCCUAAACCACAAAAAAUAGAAGUUCGUGUGAUCACAUCAAAAUUUUAUAGUUUAUUCUCCAAGAAGCUCCCAAGGAAGAAUUAGAGACUACAAGUCGAUGAAUUACAAUGAUUUACUUGGAUAGUAGCCUACAUGUGUUGUGGGCAAAAUGAAGGGUCUACAGGAAUGUUUGAACACUUAACAAGAAGCGUUCAAACACAACACCCAAAUGCUCCUAGUAGGGUGUUCAAACGCUAAUUGUAUAUUUUGCUCAAUUUUGUUUUGAUUUUAUGUUUUUAGGGGUAAUUUGGUAAAAUUAAAGGUUUAAAUAUAUUUGAAAAUUAGACCAAAGUUUUCUUAAGUGUAAAAGAAUCACUUUGUUGGAAUUUUGCAACCUUUGUGAAGAUAGUCAUUCAAUAAAUUUGUGCCUUCAUUUCUUGAAGCUUUCAAGAUCAUGCUUGAAAGUAUCAUUUGACUACAACAAAUGUUUGUGAUUCAUUUUAUGUAAAGAGCUUUGAUAGAUCCAUUAAGGAGUACAUGGAGUAUUGCAUUGAGAAUGUGGUAAAAAAGUAUAAGCGUUAACACUAUAAGACCCUGGGGGAGUAGUCCGGUCAAAGAAAAUCGUGUGUACUAUUUUAUCAUAUUUAAUGGGUUAUUAAACGAUUGAAUGACCAUAUGUGGUUUUCUACAUGAAUGUUAGGUAGUUUUUUCACAUUAUAUCCUAUAUUUAUUCAUGUGAUUAAAUUUUCUUUUGUACGAGGAUUCAUUAAUUCUUACUCAAUAUUGAUAUAACUAAUAAAUAAAACUAAAAAAGUUAAGAAAUUAAUUUCUUAGUCUAUAUAUUCAUCCCUUUUAGGUAGUUUCAUAUCAAGAUAUUAAAUUCUUUUAGAAGCUCUAACUAACCUCCUUAGGUGACCACGAUGGGUGAAGUACAAGAUUGACACCAACAACAACCAUUGAUUGUUCUUUUUCCAUUUGAAAUUUUAGAACCCUUUCUCUCACAUGGAUAACUCUAUUUCUUUCUCCAGGCUUUUGAUUGUUUGAACUCAAUAUUUACUAUAAUAAAAGCAAUAGUACAAACAUUCAAAACCCUAAAGAGAGAAAUACAAUUACCUAAGAGAGAUUUUUAAAAUCCAAAAAGGAGAAAAAACAAUAAAUGAUCUUUGUUGGUGUCUGAUCUUAGAGUUCCCCAAUAGUAGCCACCUAUGAAGCUCAGCUAGUGCAUAACUACGGGUUAGAGAAAAUGAGAAGAGGGAGAAGAGGUGGAGGUUAUGAUUUAGGGGGCUUGAGAUUAGGGUUUGUGAGUUUAAGAAAUGAGAGAGAGGGAGAAGAAAUAGAGAUUAAGGUUUGUGGGUUCACAAAAUUGAGAGGAAAGGAGAUUUAGGCUAUGUUUGGUUCCCGAAAAAUCUGAGGGAAAAUGCAAAAGAAAGAAAAUAAAAAGAAAAAAUAGAAAGAAAGAAAAAGUGAAAAAAAAUAAAAAAUAGAUUAAAAGUCGAUAAAUUAUUUAUAUUUGUUACUUUAAACACAUUUUAUUUAUUUUAAUUCAUCAAUAUAAAGAUUGAAUAAUUUAAACAUACAUGAAAUUUUAAUUAAAUUUGAUUUUCUUUUAUAUUUUUCAUAAGACAAUCAAAUAUGAAAAAAUAAUUUUUUUUUUUUUGUAUUUUUUUUCUUUCCUUAGUAUUUUCCAGGAACCCAACACAACCUUAGGUUUUAUGGGGGCUUUGUGGGAUUUAUUUCAUUUAUUUAUUUAUUUUUUAAGGACAUGUAACAAAUACCACUUGACUAAGAUAGAUGCACAAGUGAAAGACUUGGGUAAAGGGAGUAUGAAAUGGGAACCCAUAGACACAUGAAGCAUGCAUUGAAAACUCGUACAGUCGUUUACAUUUUGACAUAUUUCACUCAUGCACUCUAUUUUAUUUUUUCUACUUUGGUAUAUAAAUAUGGAUUAGUAUCAUAGAAGCAUAUACAUACCAAGUAAAAACUUCUUAUGGUCACCCACAAAAGGGGAUAUCAAUUUAGUGGUUUGCAAAAUGUUGAGAAUUCUACGGUAACAUUUUUUCAUGUGUAACCCCUCUUUUUUGAAGAGAUGAAUUUACUCUACCAAUAGUUCAGUAGAUGAUAUUGAAUUAUAAUUUUAUUCACCUCCCUCGAUAUUUAAGUUAAAUAUGUCUAACUAUCAUUAGUUUGAAAUUUUAUGAAAUAUAUUCAUUUCCUUUCUCUUUUUUCAUUUUCACUUCCCUCAUUUUAAUUCAAAAUAUGAAAGAUAUUUGAUAAAAUUUCAUAUUCACGGCACUAAAAUAUAUUUAACUCAAAUUGUAGGGAAGAUGAGUGAAAUUCAUCCCUUUACUUUUUAUAUUUUUUUCAUCUUUUUAAAAGACCACUUGACUAUUAGUAAACUCUUAUUAGUAUUUUUGUAGAACUUGUGUGACUUAUCUUUUGAAGAUAAAAGUUUGAUUUUUUUUGGGUUUCUUUUUGGAUAUUUUUUUGUAUUAUUUUAUUUUAUGAUUUUUUUAAUAAAGAAAUGUAAUAUUGAAAAGAUUUGUAACUUAAACUUAAUAACAAUACUUAUUUUAAUUCUUUUUUUUAAGUACUAUUUUUUUCUCUUAUGGCAUUUUUCUAAUGAAAAUAUAAAAGUUAUGUUUAACCUCAAAAGUUUGAGGGAAAAUGUAAGAAAAAAAAUGGAAAGAAAAAGUAGAAGGAAAUAAAAGUUGAAAAAAAUAAAAAAUAAAAUUAAAGUUUAAAAAAUAUUUUUAUAUAUUAUUUCAUAUUUUUUUUCGUAUAUUUAAAUCUUUUAUAUAAAAAUUGAAUAAUUUAAAAAUAUAUAAAUUUAUUAAUAAUUUUAGUUAUAAUUGACUUUUUUUUUAGAAUAAAAUCAAAUAUGAGAAAUUUUUUUUUGAAUAUUAUUAUUAUUUUUCUAGUAUUUUACGAGAAUCAAACAUAAUUUUAGAGUUAAAUUAAUAAUGAUUUUAGGAAAAUGAAAAGAAACUAAUAUUAUUUAGAUUGAAUAAAUUUUAGAAAGAGAAUAUAAAUUUCCAACAAUUUUAUUUUUUAUUUAGAAUGGAUUUUUUAAUUUAAUAUUAUUUUCAUUUAACGAAAAACGACAGUUAAACGGCGUCGUUGUUUGCUGACUGAAAGAUGGUGGUAGGAAAAUAAUUGGAGAGGAGCCGAACCUACUAAAUUACUAACUGCAUCUCAGUGAUUUGAUUCGAUUUGAUUUUAGUAGAAAUUCAACGUACACGGCCUCAUCCUCUUCCGUCUUCUUCCCAUCUCAACUCCAUUUUGUUCUCUGCUGCCAACCCUAAGCCAUGGAUUCACUGCUCGCGUAUCAGCUCCUUCGCAUCCUAUCCCUCACUCUUCUUCUCUCAUCGUUCUCUCGUAUCUCUAAAUCAAGUGAGGUAAUUAAAAAUUCUUUCUCAUAUGAUUUCUUUGCUUAGUCUCCGUUUGCUUUCCAACAAAAUUUAAGGAAAGUUUAACGACAGAGUGGGUUUUGAAUCUUUUGUGUUUCUUUUUUCUGUGAGAAAAUGGAAGCAUCCACUUCACUGAGCUUACUCGAUUCAGUGAUUUUUUUUCCUAUUAAUUUUAUAUUGUUGAAGGAGAAGUAUGGUUGUAUUGGGCUCUGUUUGGGUACCAGGAGACAGAAAGGAAAAGGAACUUUGAAGAAUCUCAAACGUUGAAGAAUUUAAUGGUUGUAUUGGGCUUUGUUGGUUAAAUCAUGUGGAUGUGGAUGUGGUUGUGUUAAGUUUCAUACUUUGAAGAAUCGAAUAUUGAAGCUUUUUUCUUUGUUCUUUUUUUGGAUAUUUUAUUGCAUCCAAACUGAGGAUUAGGGUUAAUACGGAAUUAGGAUGUGAUUGUUUACAGUUUUGUGAUGCUGGAACUGGAUUUGGUGAUUCUGGAUGUGUAGUCUCGUCGAAGUCUGCAUCAAAGCUGUUAAUCAAGGGAGGAACUGUUGUGAAUGCUCAUCAUCAGGAGAUUGCUGAUGUUUAUGUAGAGGAUGGGAUCAUUGUUGCUGUGAAGCCUAAUAUUAAGGUAAUUCAUAAAGUAAUUUAUUUAAUCCAUUGUCUGUUGUGUUUCAUUGGUUGAAUUUGAUCCAAAAAUGUUAAAUGAGUUGCUCAGAGAGGGCUAAUUAGCUCUAGCAUGAAACUUGAUUGGAUUGCCAUGAUGAGGGCUUUUAUGUACUGGAUUUGACAUUUUAAGAUUCUUUAGAAAAUUCAAAUUUCAUGGGAGAAUGGUGGGGUAGAAUGGUUGUUGUGGAGUCUAGUCAUCUAAGUUGUCAAAAAAUCUUGGAUUAUUCCAAAAAUAUUCAGAAACUAUCGCUAUCCUUAUCAAAGGAAAGGUCCAUUCUAGCAAUCUAAAAAACAAACAUGUGGAGCAGAGACAGACACGCCCUUUCAUUUUUUUUUUAAUUUUUUUAUUAUUAUUAUUCGUGCAUAUCCCAAAUGUAAAAAAUACUUCCCAAUAGAAAUUAUUUGUAAAAUUCCUAAAUUACUCUAUUUAAUUAUUGAAUGAUACACACAUGCCUUUUGUUUUCUCAACAUGCAUAUAUUUUCCUAGUUGCAAAUUCAUUCUCAGAUUCUCUCCAUGCUAUUCCUGAUGUUUGCUUCAGCUAGCUCCCAAAUUCUGAACCAUUUGAAUGCCAAAAGUUCUUGAAUUCCCAAUUGUCAUUCUGGUCAUUGAUUUAUUUGAUGGUUUGGUAAAGCUGUUAAGCAUGAUUCUAUUUUUAAAAUCAGAAAAUAGUACUAACUUUUAUAUAAAGUAUAAGAACUCUUAGAGGUUUACAUUGAAAAAGUAAUGGUUUAAAAACAAUUUAAAAAAAUUGAGGUAUCAAAAAAAUUUUAUUGCCUCAAAUUUAAAAAUUUUUAAAAGUGAUUUUUAAAGACAUAAGAUAAAUAUACUUUUUAUGCAAGAGGCUCUACUUUUUAUAUAAAACUUAUUACUAUUUUCUGAUUUUAAAAACAAAAAACAGGAAGUGUAACUAAAUGGACUUUUAACUGUUGUGACAGUAGAAUAUGGUGAUAGAUAAAUAUACUUUUUAUACAAGAGGCUCUACUUUUAAAUUAUAAGCUGAAUCUGAUGUUGAUAGAUAAAGGAUUUUUUUUUCCUCUAUGUGAAUGGAUGAUUAAAUGGAAAAUGGGAAUUUUUUGUUAAAAUUUAUAUAAACAGCUCUUAGUUUCAAGAAGUUGAUCUUUGUCCAAGGAUAAAACACAACUGCUUCAAGAGGUCAUCCAAAUUAUGAAUGCUUCACCUACUUUUCUUAUUCAAAGUGAGCAUACUUCUGAUAUAUAAUAUAUGUAUGUGUUCAUGUAUGUUAUACAACUUAUAAAAAUUUUGUUAUUAGGUGCAGACCUAUUUAAAUAAAGAACUAGUAUUUUCUUUUUGAAUAAACUAUAGUUCAUUGAGAAUAACAAGAGAGAAAUCAGAAAACUAGCAAGAUAUACUAAUGAAAGACAAACUGGAUUUACAGAACAGAAAAGAUCAAGAAAGGAAUAGCUAGAUAGGGAGCAUGAAGUUGUUAUCCACCAGAAUAAAGUUCUAAGAAAUGCUUUGUUUAACUUAAAAAUGAGAUCUAUUUUUAAAUAUUUUUCUAUUUCUAUUCUCUAAGAAAUCUCCCUAUUUGUACAGCAAGGGCACUGAUCAUUGGAUAGUCCUGGUGUAUCGGUGAUCAUAUUUUGAAGCCUUAUUUUACAACAUUGGUCCUUCACAGGUCAUCACAUCAUCAAGCAAAAAUCAGAAUAGAGAAAGCAUGAAAACCCAAUGCUCUCUAGCCAUCAACUAGUGAAGAAAAUGAUGACCGAUAGAUCAAGUACCAUAUCUACAAAUGCAAUGUUGACUUGAAAUAUGCUCCAAUCAAGAUGUUAAAUCUCUUUGCCAAAUAGAGAAAGAACUAUGCUUUGGAUGGAGCCAACAGGCACCAAGAUUUUUAUCUGGAGCUCUUUAUCAAUAAAAUGUUUAACUGUGAAUUUACCAAUAUGAUUCAUUUCUCCAUCAUCAAUCCUAUUUUUCCCUCUAAGCUCAAAUUCUAACACCAUUUCCAAGUUCAAUCACGAAAUGCUUCAUAAAACUAGGCUACUACAUCUUCUCUGCCAAUCACACUACACAAUCCUUGAUGCCAACCUCUUUAUUCACCACAAUUCCAAAUAGCUUUAGGAAUUUCUUCACAUGAGGGGUCUUCUACACGAUUUCCAAGUUCAAUCAUGAAAAUGCCUUACAAAACUCGGCUAGUGUAGCUCCUCCUCCAAUUUUUUUUUUUCGAUAAGUAAACACAUAUAUUAGCAAAAGGCAAAACGCCGCAUAACAUACAGGGAGUAUACGAGGCAACGCGGGCCUCACAACAAAAAGACAAAAGGAACAAAAAACCCACCGACCCUUAACUGGAGGCUAACCACUCUAAGAAACCUAUAAGGGAGCGAGGCUCCGCACCACUAUACAAUUUUACCCACCCUCACACAUUACAAACAAAAGAAUUCUUAAUUUUCUGAAUAGCUAACUCCCCCUCCUCCCCCUGAAUGCUAAUCUAUUCAUCUCCUUCCAAAUCGUCCAAAAAAUAAAUAACGGAAUGGAUCUCCAAAUUUUCUCCCUCUUUUUACCCACAAAAGAACCCUUCCAACUAAAAACCACCUCCUUUACAGAUUCAGGAAAGACCCAUUGGGCACCAAACAAACUAAGAACAAUCCCCCACAACACUCUAGCCACUGUACAAUGAAUAAGUAGAUGAUUUACAUUUUCCUCAUCACUACCACAUAAAUAACAAUGAUUAGGAAGCUGCCAUCCUCUCUUUUGAAGCCUAUCAAGGGUAAGAAUCCUCCCCCAAGUAGCUUCCCACGCAAAGAAAGCUAGCUUAGAAGGAACGUUCUCCACCCAAAUGCCCUUUUUAGGAAACAUGGAAACACUAGGGCUGAUCAUCAAACCAUACACUUCCUUAACGCCAAACUUCCCAUUUUUUCCUUCCUUCUAAAAGGCCGAGUUCUCCUCCAAGGUAAUUCUUUGACUCCUUAAAAUUUGGAGUAAUUCGCCUAUCAUGAUCAGCUCCCAAUCAUUGAAGCCUCUAAUGAUGAACCUUAGAUUUCAACCUCCUUAACCAGAAUUCUGGUCCCACAUAUCCCCCACUGUGGCGUUCCUUUAGGCAGCCGCAGAGAAGAGUUGAGGGAACCUCCGAGACAGCUCCACAUCCCCACAACAAGGGUCCUUCCAAAACCUAAUUCUGGUGCCUUUUCCCACCUUAAAAGUCGUAUUAGCCCAACACCAAUCAGCUUCUUUCAAGAUCUCCUUCCAAACCCCAACACCAAAUGCCCCAUUUGCCUUUUUAGUCCUCCACCCAAAUUCCUCUUGCCCAUAUUUUGCCACAAGAACUCGUUUCCACAUCUCGUCCUUGGCCCAAGCAAAUCUCCACACCCAUUUUCCAAGCAAAGCUUUGUUCAAGGGGACUAACUUCCUCAAUCCAAGCCCCCCCUUCUCCUUACCCACACACACCCUCUCCCAAUUGACUAGGUGGGCUUUUCUUUCCGUACUUCCCCCUCCCCACAAGAAAUCUCUUUGCAACUUUUCAAGCCUUCUUGCCACUGUCCUAGGCAUACGGAAGAGGGACAAUUGAUAUAAAGGCAUGCUAGCCAAAGUACUCUUUAUGAGGGUGACUCUACCGCCCUUGGAGAUGUAUUGCCGUUUCCAAAGGGCCGAUUUCCACCUCAUCCUUUCUUCCACCCCAUCCCACACACAAGAGGCUUUAUUGGACGCACCCAACGGCAGCCCCAGGUAAGUUGAUGGCAGCUGACCUACCUUGCAACCCAACUCCACAGCCAAUUAAAGCAAACAAUCCUCCAUAUGUGCCUCCUUAUUCAAUGCAAUGCUAAACAAUCUUAGGGAUUGUUUGACAAAAGGAGUCUUCUAUGCUAGGUGUACGUCUACUCUGUAACCAACCACUUUGAAAUUCUUGUCAAGCCCCUUCUACAGUAGCUUUUCAAAGUGCAUUUAAUGAUGUCUAACUUGCACAAAUUGACCCUCAGUUCAGAAAAUGAUAUUUGAAUUCAUCCCUAUCCCAGCCUUUGGAAUUCUUUUUUAAUUUCUUCAAGAAAGCACAAUUGGGGACAUGAAUCUGGAGAAAGUACAUACACAGUUUGUAAGCUUCUUCAUCAAAGUUACCCUCACUCAUUUAGAAGAGCAAAUCCUCUUCCAGCCACUUAGUCUUCUUUUUUCCCCUUUUAUUCAGUGCCUUAAAAACUGCUCAUACCUUAAAUACUGAUUUGUUGAUAUAUGUUCAAAUGGCUGCUGUAAUGAGCUGUAUUUCCAUAGUAGUUUGAACGAUAUGGAACCUAACAUACAUUCAUGAACUUUUACCCAUUCAAGUUUCUUCUAGCCCUUUAAUUUUUUAUCUCAGCAUGCUGGUUUCUCUUGAUGUUUCUUUCUUUUCUUUAUGCUUUCUAAUGUGCAUCUUUAUAUUUUAUUGCCAUAUCUAGGUAGGUGAUGAUGUUACUGUGCUUGAUGCCACCGGAAAGUUUGUCAUGCCAGGUGAAUUUUCACUACCAUGGUCAUAUGAUAUUUUGUGCUCAGUUUUAAAUUCUAAAUCUAAGGAGCCAUGCAAGAUGAAAGCCUCAUGCACAUUUGAAAGCCUAACUUGUGAACAAGCCUAACUUUCCAAGUCAAUGAUGGAUACUGUGACUCUGAACCAUUCUUCUAAUGCUCAACCGUAAACUCAUAAGCAUAUCUGAGCGGUUUGACUCCUCUUUGUUCUUCACUCUUCAGAUGAAACCAAAAAACCUAAAUAAAAAGAGUGAAGGAACCAGAGAGCUCUCUAGAAGAGCAGGAAAUGUCUUCCAAGGAGCGAUCAUCUCUUUCAUGCCUUCAUGCUGUGCUCAUUUUUCCAUUUCCAUAUAAGCAAUUGAACACUCAUUCAGCAUGGUAAAUCUUUUAGCUAUCAUGAUGCACUUAUUGGGCAUAUUUUGAGGUAUACCAGAGGAACAUACUGUAAUGUGAUAAGAAUCCAUUGGUUGACCCAGCUGCUGGUGAUAUUAUUCAAGUUUUUAGAAGGAAGACUGUAAAUCAGUCUUUUUUCCUUGCUAUUGAUAAGAGUAAAAUGCAUUUCCUGUUUAAUUUCUUUUAGUUUUUUACUUGUGAAAUCUAUGAAAACUCAUUAAUCAGUAAGCUACAUGACAUGUUAAAUUCGAGAGCUUAAAAUUGAAGUCCUAUGUUCUGAAGUUUUUAGUUUUAGGUCAUUUUAAUUUAAUCUGGAAGUGCAGUUCACCCAAUGAUUUGACUCCAAGGCAUAGGCGUUUGAAUCACAAGGCUAUUGCCUUCGCCAAUAUGCCUUUGAUAAUCCUUUUAUUUUGACUGGACUGUUAGUAUCAUAUUGAAGCAGCAUUUAUGCCUUGACCAAUCCAAGAGCUUAAGAGUUCUUGAUCUUAAUCAGUGAGCCUGCACAUAGCUUCACAUAGUUUUGAGUUUCCUAAUCAAUCAUAGGUUUUGGAAUCUAAAUGGCACUGAUAAACUAUUCAUUUCCUUCUCUAUCUAUUUUGAACAUAAUACAUAAAUACAGCAGAAAGAAUUAUCAUGCUGUAACCUGCACUUAGUGACUUAGUUCUUUCGUUUGUAUGCUUGCCAGAUCCUGCAAAUUUGUAUUAUUAGUGUUAUGGUUUUCCAUGAUUUCUGACUAGGAAUACAACCUUUGGAGUUCCAAUCCUUCCUCACAUGUUAUACCUAUAAAAUGUUGGUCUCUUGUCUCAUCCAUUGUGUCCAUGUGUUCCGCUUUCUUUUCAGAGUGGGUUAACCUCCUCUCUUCCCCCAUUUUCCUUAACAGAGCCUUGGAUGCAUGCCAUGGGGUUUUUGAAAUCUAUAGCUGGUAAUAAGGAGUACAUGAUUGUAUAUCAACUGUAGGUGCAAAAAGCACUAACUAUACAUCCAUCCUAGGCCUUGUAGGUGGAUUCAACAGGGUGCAAUGUGGUACGGGGAGCCAAACCCUUUAAUACUGCACUUAUUAUAAUUAAAACCUGACUUGUUGGUUUGCCAUUUUUUCCACUGUAGACUUGUUAAGUUUAAUUAGCAUGUCCAUGUCCAUGUCCAUUUCCGUCUCUAAGAACUACAUAUAUUUGAUCCAUAUAUAUUGCAACAUUAAAUUUUAAUGUUUACAGGUGGAAUUGAUCCUCACACACACCUAGCAAUGGAGUUUAUGGGUACUGAGACCAUUGAUGACUUUUUCAGUGGUCAAGCUGCUGCACUAGCAGGUGGAACAACAAUGCACAUUGACUUUGUCAUACCAGUCAAGGGCAGCUUAUCAAAGGGUUUGGAAGCCUAUAAAGACAAAGCGAAAAAAUCUUGUAUGGAUUAUGGUUUUCAUAUGGCAAUCACAAAAUGGGAUGAAAAUGUUUCAAGGGAGAUGGAAAUCAUGGUUAAGGAGAAAGGUUAGCUGUUUUUUUCAAGUUUAUUAUAAUAACUCUACAUAGAUUAUGACUUGAUCUACAUUGGCAAAUGUAAACCCCAUUUGGAUUCUUCUCUAAAUCUGUAUGAAAUCCUUACUUGUCUUCUUUUCAACUUACAGGCAUCAACUCUUUUAAGUUUUUCCUGGCCUACAAGGGGGCUCUCAUGAUCAAUGAUGAGCUUCUACUUGAGGGAUUAAAAAAAUGCAAGUCUCUUGGUGCUUUGGCCAUGGUACAUGCUGAAAAUGGAGAUGCUGUAUUUGAAGGGCAGAAAAGAAUGAUAGAACUUGGCAUUACUGGUCCAGAGGGACAUGCACUUUCAAGGCCACCCGUGGUAAUUCCUUAAAGAUGUCCAUUUUUUCUUUGACCCUGUAUUGCCCUCUGGUGUUGCACUUAUAGUAUUUUACAUCAUUAAACCUAUUUUUGAACUUUUGCAAUGGGGAAUCCAUGAUCAGCUAGUACCCUGGAUGAGUAUCCUCACCAUUGAAAGCUCUCCUUCGUUCAAACUUUUCAUUUUACCAUAUCAUUUUGUUGUACCAUGUAUGGUUGAAUUUUUGCAAUGAAUAAUAACCUAGAUUUGGAGUUCUUAGGAUCUUUCUCUCUCUCUCUCUCUCUCUCUCUCUUUCUAUCUCUCCUUUUAAUUUUGUUUUUAAAUUUUUUUAUUUUGUUUUUUUGUUUUUUUGUUUUUUGUUUUUUUUUUUUUGAUGAAUCUUGAAAGAUUUACUAAACCAAAAAUAAUGUGGAGAGAAAUACAAACAUGGGCAUUCAUUUAUUUUCUCUCUUUUCAUUCUUUUGCUUCUCUAGCAUAUUUCAGACACAUGCUGUAGGACAGAGUAUUCUGGUGGGGGAUGCAUGUCAAAGAGAUGGUAGAGAAUGUAACAUAUUAACAUAAUCCCUUGACAAGUUUACUUGUAAUGGCUUUCGGGGAGCUAGUGUUUACUGAAAUCAUUGUAUAGUAAGGAUAUUCUUUUAGUAGUUAAUACUUACUAAUUUCAGUAAACCAUAUAAGAUUAUUCCUCAGUGAAUCACUCUUUAUUCUGUUGUUCUUCUAAUUGUCUGACAGUUCUUUCCGUUUAUUUCCUGGACGUCAUGCUUUUAUAUAAUCUGUCUUUUUUUUGGCCCUUAUGCAGCUAGAAGGAGAGGCAACUGCUAGAGCUAUUCGGUUGGCCAGUUUUGUUAACACGCCUCUCUAUGUAGUUCAUGUGAUGAGCAUUGAUGCGAUGGAAGAAAUAGCUAAAGCUCGAAAAUCAGGUUUUUUUAACUCUUAUAUUUACAUUACGUGUUUGUUGUGUUAAAUUUACACCACCAUGGAGCAAAAUCUCAUGUUAUUCUUAAUUUUAUAUAAGUUCUAUCUUAAAGAUACAACCUUCUUUUAUUUUAUUUUUGGUUUUUUAGUAAUAACUUUUUGGUUCAUCGAUAUUUUGAUAUUAUAUUUGUCAGAAAAUUGGAAGUAGUAACAAGUUAACUCCAAUACUGUUUAUGUGGCUGAGUGAGAGAGAGAAUGUCUGAAAAGGUCCUGAUCUUUAUCAAAAAAGGUCUGGGCUUCCCCUAUCUUUAACAAAUGGUUCCCAACCACUUGAAAAUUCCAACUUUAUCCUUUAUUUUAUUUUUGGCUAUUUUAGUUUAUAUAUCUAUCUAUUUGUCUAUCUAUCUAUCUAUCUAUCUAUCUAUAUAUAUAUAUAUAUAUAUAUAUAUAUAUAAAUUUCAAUGGAAGGAAUAUCUUACAGUGUUAAAUUUCUCAAUAGAAAGCCUUGUAGUAGGGUAAAUAUCUUGUUAGUUGGAAGUCUUAUAAUCAUAUGGUUUACUUAGGAUUUGAGGACUGGUUUUUUUUAUUUUUUUUAUUUUUAUCAGAAACGAAGAAAAAUAUAUUAAUAGAAGAAAAGAUACAGGAAAAAGAAAAGUUACAAAAGAAAGAGAAGAAAACAAGGGAAGGAUGAGAGGUCCUUCCUACACAAAUUGAACAAAGGAGAAAACUCCCAACAAUAGAACUCUAAAAACAAAGAGAAACCCCACAUUCUUCAAACUUUUGAAGCACAAACCGCAAUCCAGUUGAGUUGUAAAACACUUAGAGGAACUCUUCUAAAAGCUUCAGUACAAGAAGCCCAUAGAGAAGAAUAGAACCGAAUCAAAUCCCAUAACAUCUCUUUCGUUCUCCCUUUAUCCUCAAAGAUCCUAUUGUUCCUCUCUUGCCACACCAUCCAAAUCAAGAUAAGGCAAGUGAUUUGCCAAAGUGUCUUGCCUCUUAAUGAGUUCCCCAAGCCUUUAAAAGUAAUAACCAACAUGUCCUCAAAACUCCUUGGAGGGACCCAAACCAACCCUGUUAGAUUGAACAACUUGUGCUAGAGUCCAAUGGUAACAGGACAAUGAAGAAAAAGGUGAUCAAUUGACUCUCCAUUACCUUUGCAAAGAAUGCACCAUUGAGGAUAGAGGGAUUCAUAGGGUCUUCUCAAUUGCAACUUAUCAUUGGUGUUUACCUUCCCAUGUGCUACUAACCAAGCGAGGGCCUUAACCUUUGAAGGGGCUUUUGAACUCCACAAGAACUUGGCCGGAAGGAACAAGAUAGGACUUGAGACUUUUGACAAGGCCAAGAGAAAAGAUUUCAUUGAAAACAAUCCUGACGAAGACAAAGACCACGCUCUAGAAUCUACCAAAGAAGGAGAGAAAAACACAGAACUAAGAGAGGACAUUAAUCUCUGAAGGAGAUCAAUUUCUGAUUCUGUAAGAUUGCGGCAAAAGUUAAAAUUCCAAGACAGUGGAAAUGAAUUGCCAAGGACAUUUGAGACAGUGAGGUUUUUCGCAGAAAUAACUUUGUAAAGAUCAACAAAUUGAGAACACAAAGUUUGUUUACCCCACUAGAGAUCUUCCAAAAAACGAAUUCUCUCCCCAUUGCCCACCACUAGGCGGACAAAAGGGGAAAAAAACCUGGAAAACUUGAGCAAUAGCCUUCCAAGGACAUCUGUGUGACCAUCUAACCACCAUGUUGGCGUCCCAUCCAUUAGGAUGUGUCCCAUAUAUACUCGCAAUAACCUUAUGCCAAAGACUACUCCUUUCUCUAGGGAACCUCCAAAGCCAUUUCCCUAAGAGAGCAAUAUUUCUCAUAGAAGUCUUCCCAAAACCCAAACCUCCUAACUCCUUUGGUCUACUAACAAUCUCCCAUCUGAUAAGAUGAUCUUUCUUCCCUUCUUUCGUCCCAGACCAAAGAAAAUCCCUUUGCAUCUUCUCAAUCUUUGAAGCUAUUGAUACUGGGAUUUUAAAGAGGGAGAGGAAGUAGCUAGGGAUGUGAGACAGAUAAGACUGAAUUAAAGUAAUCCUCCCUCCCAAAGACAAAAAGGCCUUUUUCCAACCAUCCAGCCUCCUCGAAAUUCUCUUGACCACUGGAUCCCAAAAGCCUAUUAUCGUUGGGUUCCCUUCCAAUGGAAGGACUAAAUAAGACAAAGGCCACUUUGACACUCUGCAAUCCAAAACUGAGGCCAAACUAGACAACAACUCCUGCCUAGUGUUAAAACCUGAAAUGAUGUUUUUUUCUAAGUUGAUUUUUAAACCAGAUACUUGCCCAAAAACCACAAGGAUAAUCUUGAGGUUUUGAAGAUGUUCCAUAGAGGUUUUAGAGAAAAAGAUAGUGUCAUUAGCAAACUGUAGCAAAGACACUCUAGUCCUAUCCCUCCCCACAAAGAAACCCUCAGUUAUCCCAAUUUCCUCUGCUCUGAUCAUCAACCUACUUAGAACAUUUGCCACCAGAGUAAAAAGGAAAGGAGAAAGGGGGUCUCCUUGUCUCAAACCUCUAGAGGCCUUAACCCAACCCUUUGCAUUCCCAUUAACUAGGAUUGCAAAACUUGAUGAAGACAAACAACCCCUUAUCCAAGAUCUCUAUUUUUGACUGAACCCCUUCCUUUGUAGCACAUGAUCUAAAAAGACCCAAUCCACAUGAUCAUAGGCCUUCUCAAAAUCGAUUUUGAAGACUACCCCUAGCCUUUUUUUUCUCAUCCACCACUUCAUUGGCUAUCAACACAGCAUCCAGAAUGUGUCUCCCUUCAAUAAAGGCUCCUUGAGAGCCAAAGAUUGUUUCAUGAAGAAUUUUGCGUAAACGUCCUGAUAAGACCUUAGCAAUUAUCUUAUAUAAACUUGUAACCAAGCUAAUAGGUCUAUAAUCUGAGAUUUUAAAAGUUUGGCUUUUCUUAGGCACUAUAGCAAUGAAUGUCGCAUUUGUACUUUGAUUUAUUACCCCCUUGGUGUGGAACUCAAGAAACACCCUGAUAAGAUCCUCUUUUAUCACAUCCCAACACUCUUGAUAAACUACUAUAGUAAAGCCAUCAGGACUAGGGGCCUUUUCCUUAUUCAAUUGGAAAAUUGCCAUUUGUACCUCCUCUUCAGAAAAAGGCCUAUCCAGCCAGAUUGCACUCUCUCUAGAAAUAGGGACCCAAUCAAUUCCUUCAAUCCUCCAAGAAUCACCUUCAGGUUUGGAAUAGAGUUUCCCAAAAAAAUUUACAAUCUCCUCAGAGAUAACCUCAAUGUUACUUAAAGUCUCCCCCUUCUCAGAAAUUAGAGACUUAAUGAACUUCGUGCUUCUUCUUCCAGUGGUCAUUCUGUGAAAGAACUUAGAGUUGCAAUCCCCUUCUUUAAUCCAAUACAAUACAAGAGACAUUCAAAAUUUCAGAAUGGAAGAAGGCAGUACAAGAUGAGAUUGAUGCACUUGAGAAGAAUGGGACAUGGACUAUCAUAGAUUUGCCGGUUGUGAAGAGGCCCGUGGGGUGCAAGUGGAUUUUCACCAUAAAAUACAAAGCUGAUGGAUCAGUCGAGAGAUUCAAGGCUCGUUUGGUAGCUAGAGGGUUUACACAGUCCUAUGGGAUAAACUAUCAGGAGACUUUUGCUCUUGUUGCAAAACUGAACACUAUCAGGAUUCUUCUCUCGUUGGCUAUCAAUCAAGAUUGGUGCUUGCAACAACUGGACAUAAAAAAUGCGUUUCUAAAUGGUGACCUAGAAGAGGAAGUCUACAUGGAAAUACCACCUGGUUUCGAAGGAAGUAUGGUAAAGAAUCAGGUUUGCAAACUCCAAAAAUCCUUGUACGGCCUUAAACAAUCUCCCCGAGCCUGGUUUGAUAGAUUCACAAAGGCAGUCUUGAAGCCGGGCUACAAACAAGGUCAGGCUGAUUAUACUUUAUUUGUCAAGAAGUCUCAUGCUGGGAAAAUGACCAUAUUGAUAGUCUAUGUCGAUGAUAUUAUUCUAUCUGGGAAUGAUAUGGAGGAAUUACAGAAUUUGAAGAAGUAUUUGUCAGAAGAGUUUGAAGUUAAAGACCUUGGAAAUUUGAAAUAUUUCCUUGGUAUGGAAGUGGCUAGAUCAAGGAAGGGAAUUGUAGUCUCUCAAAGAAAAUACAUACUUGAUCUUCUUAAGGAGACCGGUAUGCUUGGAUGCAAACCAAUUGAUACUCCUAUGGAUAGUCAAAAGAAACUUGGUAUCGAGAAAGAGAGUACACCGGUAGACCNNNNNNNNNNNNNNNNNNNNNNNNNNNNNNNNNNNNNNNNNNNNNNNNNNNNNNNNNNNNNNNNNNNNNNNNNNNNNNNNNNNNNNNNNNNNNNNNNNNNGAAACUUGGUAUCGAGAAAGAGAGUACACCGGUAGACAGGGGGAGAUAUCAACGACUCGUCGGGCGCUUGAUUUAUCUCUCACACACUCGGCCAGAUAUUGGCUUUGCAGUGAGUGCUGUAAGUCAAUUCAUGCACAGCCCCACUGAGGAACACAUGGAAGCAGUCUACAGGAUUCUUAGAUAUUUAAAAAUGACACCAGGGAAAGGUCUAUUCUUUAGAAAGACAGAGAAUCGUGACACUGAAGUAUACUCAGAUGCGGAUUGGGCAGGAAACAUCAUUGACAGGCGGUCCACUUCUGGAUACUGUUCUUUUGUCUGGGGAAAUCUUGUUACCUGGAGGAGUAAGAAGCAAUCAAUUGUAGCCAGAAAUAGUGCAGAAGCUGAGUACAGAGCUCUAGCACAGGGAAUCUGUGAAGGGAUUUGGAUAAAAAGGGUUCUUAGUGAACUGGGACAAACGAGUUCAUCUCCGAUUCUGAUGAUGUGUGAUAAUCAGGCAGCUAUAAGCAUAGCAAAGAACCCCGUGCAUCAUGACAGGACCAAGCACGUUGAGAUUGACAAACACUUCAUCACAGAGAAGGUGACUAGUGAGACGGUUAAAUUGAACUACGUUCCUACCAAGCACCAAACCGCA